UGAGACUACAUAGUUUGAAUGUGCUCGUCAAUUUUGAAGUCGGUAUAGUGUGAUUUGAGGAGAAUUCAGCUGCUAUUUCUAGCAAUCGUAAUGGCUCGGUAAAUGUUCUCUUGUUGUUGUCUGUUAUAUUCUAGGUUCAAAUUGAUUUAGGUUUUGACUUUUCCCUCAGCCCUCUGAGGCCGAUUCAUUCAUUUUUUAAAACUUUUUUCUGAAUUAAUGUUUACCCUGAGUGAAGUUUAGGGUCCAUAUUUUAAAUUGCACAUAUAGUCAUGCAAAUAACAUAUUUUUCGAAUCACUCCAUCGAUUUUUCUAAGAAUGGAGAACAAUCAUUAAUCCAGGCCCCGUAAUCUCCUUUUCCAGCCACGUAGAGGCUGGUAAGAAGAGGCAUAACUUGAACUCAGAACACAGAAAGCAGAAACGGAUAACGCAGGCGUCUUGUCCGUUUCUCAAGCUUCUACGCUUAUUCUUACUUCUUGAUUAGCACACUUUUAUCAACCCCGAACGGAUAAAAAAUUGUGAUGAUCACGCCCGCAUGUGAAAUCAGCUUCUAGAAAUUUAAAACGAGUAGACCAACCCAUUUUGUACGACAAUCCAACAACUCUCUCAGUUCACUUUCUGCGACAUAUCAGACAGAUAUAUCAGCCAUACACUUGGUUUAAUAUUAGCCAAGGAUUUGAAGGCGGCGAGCUGACAGAAACGUUAGCACGCCGGGAGAAAUGCGCAGCCGUAUUUCGUCUGCCGUUAAGUUCUGAGCUCAAAUUCCGCCGAGGUCGACUUUGCCUUUCAUCCUUUCGAGGUCGAUAAAUUAAGUACCAGUUGCAUACUGGGAUCGAUAUAAUCGACUGGGCCCUGCCUCCCUAAAGAUUUUGUGUCUUGAGCAGAAAAGAAUAUUAGCUAAGGAUAAAUUUAUUUGUGCCCGUUGUAUUCUAAUAGCUCUUCUUUUGCUGUUCAUGUUUUAAGGUUCUAAAUUAAAUAGAAACCGCAUGCUAAGCUACAGAUUAUCUUUCAAUCCUAAAUGCUACUAAAAAAAAAAUAACGAAACGAGAGACACAGGCACAGUUACAAAAAUAAACCUUGAAAUCUGCUCGAAUUUACGUCAACAGUUUAUCCCACACUACAAAGGGGUCUAUUUUCACUACUACUACUACUACUACUACUAUACUACUACUACUACUACUACUACUACUACUACUACUACUACUGCUGCUGCUGCUGUUGCUACAUAGGUGCUACGUGGCAAUAUGUUAAAGAAGCUUCCUCAUGGAUCACCACGCUUCGGACUCGAUCCCACUUCGUGUAAGUUAAGGGCGUGACUUUUACCACGGUCACGCUCCGACCCCAGCCGUGUGAGUGACAUUGUAUAAGUAGAAUUUGUGUGGGUGGAUUGAAGGGUCGGACGACUGCUGAUAUCGGUAAUUCCAAGGGUACGGCCGUGUCCUAUUUCACGUUAGGUUGAUUAUGUCUGACUGUUGCGUUAAGAUUACAUCAUCACACACUUGAACGUUAGUACCUAGAAUUCCAGGACCCAUACGGCCUAGGGCCUCUUACCCUAAUUCUAUGGCGUUUAAAUGGAUGAGGUCCCAACAUGCCUCCGCUUCCCCACCUCCGAACGGGACGCUAAUCCAUGGUGCGGUCACUCACAGCUGAGUAUACUGGAGCGAGAUGAAAGGAAUGUUCCACCUUCGAAUUAGAGCAUGUAUCCCUGCCUCGUAAAAUUCUGUUGACUGUUCUUUGAAUCACUUCUUGACUACAAUUUUCACUUCCUCAUCACUGGAAUAAUUUAGUGCCUUCAUCUCUUCAGCCCCAUGAAAGACGGUUUGAGGUGCAUACAUUAUUCCAGUGACAAGGAAGUGAAAACUGUAGUGAAGAAGUGGCUCAAAGAACAGUCAACAGAAUUUUACGGGGCAGGGAUACAUGCUCUCAUUCGAAGGUGGAACAUUGCUAUUGAGAGAAACAGUGACUAUGUUGAGAAGUAGGGAUAUGGUCCACAGAGGACCAGCUUCAUUUUGAUGUAUGAUACAUGUUCCUGUAUUGAUAAUUAUACCUGUCCUAAACAAAAUGGCAUUACUUUUUGACUCAUCCUCGUAGUUUGAGGACUGGCAGGGUUUACGACCGUCAAAUUCUUUGUGUAAUUUCUUUUCAGCACUUAUUUUUCCAUGUUCAAAUAUCACUUGUUUCGGUUUAGCUUUUCAUCCUUCUAGGGGGUCUAUAAAAUGAAAUUCCAUUCAAGUGCCGGAGUCGAUUUUUGCAUCUAGCCUAGUAUUUCCCAAUAAUUUUCUCCGACGCACCCGUUUGAUUACCAUUUUACUCGGAUGGACCCUCUUAAACAUUCGAUAUCUAAGAAAAUCUUUUGUUUUUAUAUUUAAAUAAUUUUAAGAAUUGUUUUUGAGAAAUUGAUAAAAUAUUUUGCGAACUGUAGAAGUAGAACUAGCUUGUUGUAGAUAAACGUCAACAACAAAUUCUUGUGGUCCCUAUUUGAGAAUCGCCGGCCCAUCCCCUAAAUACCAAGAUUUCUGGUAUUGUGGUUAUAUUAGAAAUAAUUAUUUAUAUUAGAAAGAGUAAUAAUUAAAUCUUUGAGAACAUAACUGGAAUCGACGAGAUUUUUUUUGCUAUUGAGUUGGAUGUUGUCGCUGGUAGUGUCUUUGAUGAUGAUGAGGAGGAGGAGGAGGACGACGACGACGAUGAUGACGACGACGACGACGAUGAUGAUGAUAACGAUGAUGAUAUUGAUGAUGAUGAUGACGAUGAUGGUGACGAGGACGGCAACAAUGACGAUUGUAAUUGUGAUACGCGUGGUGGCGUUGAUGGUGAUAAACGACGACGAUGUCGAUGACGAUGAUGAUGAUGAUGAUGAUGAUGAUGAUGAUGAUGAUGAUGAUGAGAUUUUCGCGUAAAUAUUUUUUUCCUGCUCUUCCUCAUUUUUGUUCAUAUGUUGUAAUCGGUAAAGCGCCCCCAAGAAAAUUACAUUUGGUAUCUAGCAGCCCCUCCAAAUUUCACAGCUGAAAUCCCACCAAGCCAGGCUUCGUUUUUUUUUUUUUCCUUAGUUUUUAUUAUUCUUUAUUUUUGCUUCCAGCAGUCUUUCAUAAUCAACUGAAACAAAAUACAAAUCCAAGAAUAAAUUCGAUUUACUCCGUUAUUCUCUUCACCGCUGCCCGAAAUACGACGAACUGUGCCCCACUCGUCCUCAGUAACAGUUAUGCAGCAGCGUGGUACACGAUGUAAUCUUUCAUCUAAUGCCUGUUACUUGUUUCAGACAUUAGAAUGCGCUCAUGCUAAGGCACUGCAUUGAAGAAUUUUAGUCGAACGACUGGUAUCUAUUCUAUUGGUCUUUUUCGCCAAAUCAGUAAAUUGCGGAGACGUAAACACACCAACACCGGUUAUCAAGCGGUAAUAGGACAAACACAGACACAAAGGCACACACACACAUACGGCGGUCUUCUUUCAGUUUCCGUCUAUCAAAUCCACUCACAAUGCUUUGGUCGAUCCGAGGUUAUAGUAGAAGUCACUUGCCCAAGUUGCCACGCAGUGGGACUGAACCCAUAAACAUGUGGUUAGGAAGCAAACUUCUUACCACACAGCCACGCCUGCAAUAGUUAUACAAUGUUAUACAAUGCCAUAGCAAUGUGUUAUACAACAAUAGAGCGGCGAGCUGGCAGAAUGGUUAGUACGCCAGGCAAAAUCCUUAACGGUGUUUCGUCUGUCUUUACGUUCUGAGGUCAAUUUCCGCUGAGGUCGAAUUUGCCUUUUAUCCUUUCGGGGCCAAUAAACUAAGUACCAGUUGCAUAGUGGGGUCGAUCUAGUCAACUGGCCCCGCCCCUAAAAUUUCAGGCCUUUCGCCUAGAAUAGAAGAGAAUAUGUUAUAUAGUAGCGAAAGUCUAUGUUCGGCUUUAUAUCAGUGUCAAUGACUCCAUUGUACGUUAUGACCAGCAAGAUUAAGAAAGAAUAUUCUGCUACGAAACAAACGCUACACACACUCAUGUAUCGCUUAUAUAUAUAUAUAUAUAUAUAUAUAUAUACACGCUCGGAAAAGUACACACACACACAUGCAUACACACACACAAUGAGAUUCCUCUGUACACAUUUCAUAUUGCGUAUGUGUGUUUGUGUGUGUAUAUAUAUGUAUGUAUGUAUGUACGUAUGUAUGUAUGUAUAUUACAUAUGUACAUGUACUGUUACCAAAAGCCUGGAUGCAUGGUUUUCAGUUAUUCCAUUAAUGAAAAGUGCAUUACAUGUACGUUUUAUAGUAUUUAUUUUCCCUAUAUUCCUAUAUAAUUAUAUUACUUUCUCUACACAUCCGAUGUCAUAGGCCAAGCAGUUUUCAUGGGUUUCCACCGCUGGACUUAAACCCUCCAGUCCCCGUUCUUUUAAGUUCCAUAAUUUCUCAUUCUUUUUGUUGUUUGGUGUUAACUUUUCGUUCCCAAAUUUGGAUUUCGAAUUUAGGCACAAGGUCAACAAAAUCAGGGGAGAAGCUAAGUUGAUUAUAUCGACAUCCCAACGUUCAACUGGUGCUUUUUUAUCGACCUCGAAAGGGUGAAAAGCAAAGUCGACCUCGGCGGAAUUUAAUCUCAGAACGUAACGGCAGACGAAAUACCUAUUUCUUUAUUACCCACAAGGGGCUAAACACAGAGAGGACAAACAAGGACAGAAAUGGGUAUUAAGUCGAUUACAUCGACCCCAGUGCGUAACUGGUACUUAUUUAAUCGACCCCGAAAGGAUGAAAGGCAAAGUCGACCACGGCGGAAUUUAAUCUCAGAACGUGACGGCAGACGAAAUACCGCUAGGGAUUUCGCCCGGCGUGCUAACGUUUCUGCCAGCUCGCCGCCUUAGCGGACGAAAUACCGCUAAGCAUUUUACCGGUCGCGCUAACGUCUCUGCCAUCGCGUCGCCUAUUUCUUUCCCAAACAUGUUCAUGGGAAGAGGUUUUAUCUUCUAAUUACGGAGAUGAUCCAAGUCCAUACAAGAUUUCCGGUUAACAUUCAUGAGACUUUAACCACAUUUACAUAUAGUCUGUCGAACGUUCCCUUGUGGUAUUUUCUCUGACAUAGAACUGCGUGUGUCUUACUCUUUUUCAACGACAAUAUAUAUAUAUUUCUAGUUAAAUCUUUAAGCCUCCACGCAUUAAAUACUUUCAUACUAACUCAUAUAUUUCUGAAAUAUAAUUAAGUGAAAUAUAAUCCCACUUUUUCCUUAAAUUUCUGUUUUCUGAAACUCAUUGCCAUUUUCUCUUCUGCUGACCUAUAAUAUUCACUCAUUUGAGCUUUCUAUUCUUCCACAUCAUUUCGAUUUUUAGGGCCUUUUUUUCCUUCUUUAUAAUCGCUUAUGCUACAGUAGUGGACUCAGGUGUUGUUUGAGACAAAAUUUCAUCAAAUAUGUUGUUUUUUUUUUGCUGUUGUCGUUGUUCUUGUGGUUGUUACUGUUUAGUUCUGUUCGAGCUGUCUGUACUUAAAGGCGUUCCAGUUAUAACCUCUCCAUUAUAAAACAACGAAAGGGUAAAAGGAGAAUUGGGGAUUUUAUGAGGGGUGAUAUUUCUGUCGGAAUGAGUAAUCCCAAGGUGACCACCUCGUUGACAUAAACUCGUUAUUCAUAAAAAACAAAGCUUUUAAAAAUUAUUUCUUCAAAUCUUUCGAAAACCUGAUCCUAGUCACCGUAAACGUUCAACAACUGUUAACGCAUCAUCCAUCAGUUACCUCUGAUCUUAUAUUUACAGAAUUCUUUGUACCAUUAAUAGUGGAGGCGCGUGGCUUAGUGGUUGGGGUGUCAGCAUCAUGAUCGUAAGAUUGUGGUUUCGGUUCCUGGACCGGGUGACGCGUUGUGUCCUUGAGCAAAACACUUAAUUUCACGUUGCUCCAGUUCACUCAGCUGGCAAAAAUGAGUAACGCUGCGAUGGACUGGCGUCCCGUCCAGCUGGGGAACACAUACGUCAUAGAAUCCGGGAAACCGGGCCCAUGAGCCUGGCUAGGAUAUAAAAGGGCGCAUUUAUUUUUAUAUUAUUGUACCAUUAAUCAUCUCCGAUAAAAUCCUAGUUAUUUUAUUUCUACUUUGUUUUAACUACCAUAGUCUUAAUGAUGCUAGACCUCCACCUGGUGUAAAGCACAUGUUUUCAAGCUAUAUAGGGCAAAGUGUAACCCCACGAUUUGCCAAAUUUCAGUUCUUAGUUGUAAUAUAUUUCACGUCACUCACACGCGUGUAACCAAUACGUAAAAGAAAAAAAAAUCUGCGUAAAACAAUUUCUUUUCAUUGUCCUAUAAAUAGACAUCUUUGAAUUUAAUUUUGCUUGUUUAAUUAACAUAUUGGCAAGCUUCGCAAUCUCCUUCAGGUCAAAUCUUGGCUAGACGAGAGUCUGAGGUUUCAAUGCACACACAAAACUACACUUAAUUUUACAUUUUAAUUUUCUUUUUAAAGCAAAGUAUUGGCAAGCGAUGAGAAGAAACCUUAGUACACCCAUGAAAUCGGUCUUUGUCUAAUCGAAAUUUAGCAUUGAGAAAACUUCAGUACACCCCCCCACACACACACUCAUACACGCUCACACAUACAAACACACAUGAAGCUUGGAGUUAAAUGUUUUUACCUCACACGUGUGGCCGAUCACCAAAGAGAAACCACAGUCAGCAUUAUAUCAUAUGUCCAGCUCACCUCGCCUAACUGAUGUCUAGUAAUUUAUACAACUUUACAAGGUCUCAGAAGGACCGACAGGAUCUUGGUAACAUGUUGCAUAAACCCCCAAAAUUUGUUGUUUGCUUGUUGUUGUUUUGGCGUUUAGUUACAGAUAAUUCCUGACCCAACAGGUUACGUUCAAUGGCGUUCAAGCCACGCCAAUCUCGUCUUCUUGUAUAUCACAAACUACAUUAUCGAAUAUAACACUUCUGUUAGUCACUAGGAUUAUGAUUUGGGGUUAAUUAACAGCGUUUUUUUAGUAAGCAGAAAAUUCCCCCUUAAUCCUCAGGUGUAUGCUUGUAAUAUUUAAACUAGGGUACGGUUUUGGUUUUAGUGAUAAGCAUUUGUUUGAUUUAGGCCGGCAAUACCACCAUAUAAAAUAUACAGAGUAAUUAAAAUUUGAAACUAAUACCAGUAAUUAACACAUCAAUCGAUUCUGUAGAUGGGAAAUUGUUAGAACUUGAAGACAGGUGUGCUAGAGCUCUUGACUCUGUCAAAUACAUUAUGUGUAUCAUAUCUAUCCAUCUGUCUGUCUAUCUAUCUAUCUAUCUAUCUAUCUAUCUAUCUAUCUAUCUAUCUAUCUAUCUAUCUAUCUAUCUAUCUACACACACACACACACACAUAUAUAUAUACAAAUAUCUAUCUAUCUAACCGUCUAUUUAUUUAUCUAUCAAUCUAUCUAUCUAUUUAUCUAUCUAUCUGUCUAUCUAUUUGUGUGUGUGUGCGCAUACACACACACACACAUAUGUAUAUGUAUGUAUAUUAAGCAUGUAACAAUUGUGAUAGUGGAGACACAUUGUUUACCGUAAAUUGUCCAACAAAUAACAUUUUACACACACACACACAUACACACACACACACACACACACAUACACACACACACAUACACACACACACACACACAUACACACACACUCAUCUACAUCUAUAAUUAUUUCAUUGUAAGAGUACUAUGUCGAUCAUCUCUGAAUCAUACGAAGCCUAUUACAUUCACAUUCUGUCUUUUCUUUAAAGUAACUGUCUACUUUAAAGACUGAAAAAUUUUCGUCGCAUUUCUGCGUCCUACAAAGUCAUAUAUAGAACAUCAACAGAAUGGUGUUCCGGGCAUCCGCUAUAUAGCUUUUAACACCGUUACAUGUUUAAAUGGUUAAAAUAACUUUCCAACAAAUUAUUUGGCCCUCAACACAUGCUGUCGCAUUAAGUCACUUGACAACCAGGUAAAGUCCCACAUCAUAUACUUAUACACACACACGUGUAAGAGACACACACACUGGGUCAUUGUUAUGUAUGUAGCCAUAUUACGGUAACGUCAACUCCGAAGAAGAAUUUGUGAAAAUAUGGUUGGUUUUAUUAAAAAGCAUGUGUGUGUGUGUGUUAUGUAAAUAUAAAUAUAAAUAUAUAUAUAUAUAUAUAUAUAUAUAUAUAUAUAUAUAUAUAUAUAUAUAUAUAUAUAUAUAUAUAUAUAUACACACAUAUAUAUAUACACGUGGAGGCGCAAUGUCCCAGUAGUUAGGGCAACGAUUUCGCGGUCGUAGAAUCGCGGUUUCGAUUCCCAGACCGGGCGUUGUGAGUGUUUAUUGAGCGAAAACACUUAAAAAGCUCCACAAUCUCCGACAGAGGGUGGUGAUCCCUGCUGUACUCUUACACCACUCUUUCUCUCAUUCUUUCUUCUGUUGGCCUGUUCGCUUAGCCAGCGGGGUGGCGCCAUUCGGAGGCUAAAACAAUGCGAACGCAUUGUGACCAGCGAUGUGUAACUGCAUCUGAUGGAAUGGUCGGUCACGUGAUCACGUGAUAUACACACACACACACACACACACACACACACACACACACACACACACACACAUUUCAAAAUGUAACCACAUGUCUUCCGUUUCUAUUAGACUCUCCUCUGUUUCUGAAGAAGUGCUUUGCUCGAAACGUUAAACCAUCUUUCUUUCCUUUCCUGAGCGUCUGUUAAUACUUUACAUGUACCACGUCCACGCGUUGCUGUUUUUCUACGUUUGUUCAUCUUCUUUUUGGGAUUUACUAUAUAUAUAUAUAUAUAUAUAUAUAUAUAUAUAUAUAUAUAUAUAUAUAUAUAUGUAUGUAUGUAUGUAUACAUGCAUAUAUGUAUGUAUGUAUGUAUGUAUGUAUACACACACACUCUUGCAUAAGAUCCAAUUUUAUAAUAUUUCAUAUACUUGUGUGCGUGUGUGUCUGUGUUGCUGUGUCUAUGUGCAUGUAUGUGUGUAUGUGUACACCCUGGUAUAUGUGCACACAUAUAUUCUUUUAUUUGUUUCAGUCAUUUGACUUCAGCCAUGCUGAAGCACCGCCUUUAGUCGAACAAAUCGAUCCCAGGGCUUAUUCUUUGUAGACCUAGUACUUAUUCUCUCGUCCUCUUUUGCCGGACCGCUAAGUUACGUAAGCGUGAACACACCAACAUCGAUUGUCAAGCGAUGGUGGAAGGACAAACACACACACACACACACAUACACACACACACACAUAUACGACGGAUUUCUUUCAGUUUCCGUCUACCAAAUCCACUCACAAGGCUUUGACCGGCCCGAGACUAUAGUAGAAGGCACUUGCACAAGGUGCCACGUGGUUGGUAAGCAAGCUACUUACCACACAAUCACUCCUGCGCCUAUGUAGCAGGGAUUUUUGUUCGACCCGCUCAAACUUUGUUCAGUUGCCAAUAUACGAACCCAACCAACCUAGGAUGACAAUGAAACGAAAUCACUUGCUGUACGUAGCGAACCAAAGCUUACAAAUUGUUCAAGUAAUCGUGUUACCUUCGUGUUUAUACCCGUUCUGUAUCUCCGGCCAUGUCCAGGUCAACUCCUGCUCGUGAUUCUAUAUGAGACAUGACCUUGUGUAUUGUUAUCUAACGUUUAUGUACAUCCCCAUGUUGCUUCCGAUCCAGCAGACCUCCAACCGUGACCAUCCAUAUUUUCUGUUGUCGUUUCUUGUAUCUGGAAUACUAAAGGUACUGUCUUGUCACGCUUUAUUACGCUGAUUCCGUCCGAGGAUUUUCUUUAAGAGUACACGUGUCUGUGGAGUACUCAACCCGCUUAUUCAUUCCAGAGCGAGCAAUUUUUUCCUUUUUAUUGCGCCCAUGCUGGGGCAACACCUUCAACGUGUUUUGUGUCUUUUAUUUUAUUUUAUAUUAUUUGUUUAUCUUUUAUUGGAAUAGAUCAACCUCAGUAUAUAUUUUAAAGCCUGGUGCUUAUUCUACCCGCCUCUUUUGCCGAACCGCUAAGUUACGGGGACAUAAGCAAACUGACGUCGGUUGUUAAGCGGUUGUAGAAAACAAACACAGGAUUCACACAUGGGUGUAAAUACACACGUACACACACACACA
rnacentral:lncRNA from 1 species